GCUGAGGAGUCAUCUUCUCAAGUUGCUAAGCAACUGGGGGAUAUAUAUUCUAGUUUUUCUGUGUUGGUGGACAAAAGUACUAAGUUGUCUUCUGAUCAACUUGCUAAGGAGCUGGAGGAUAAAUAUUCUAGAAUUGCUGCCUGGAAACCUUUUGUUGACAAAACUCCCCAAUCAUCUUCUCAACUUGCUAAGGAGCUGGAGGAUAAAUAUUCUAGAAUUGCUGCCUGGAAACCUUUUGUUGACAAAACUCCCCAAUCAUCCUCUCAACUUGCUAAGGAGCUGGAGGAUUCCGGUUACAAUAUUCCUUCUUAACCCUCUUCUUCAUAUGUUAAAUAGUUCCUUCAUAAAUAUUCUACUAUUUUUGGAAUGUAAUCCCAC
rnacentral:lncRNA from 1 species